CAUAACUUGUGACACAAAUUAAGACAUUACUGUCUCUAUUUUUUUUAAAUAUAAUAUAAAGGUCAAAUACAAACGCUUGAGCCUUAGACCUUUCUAAUGAUGUAUUGUUUGUUGUGUUAAGUACAAUCUUUUACAUUAAAUAGGUAAACAGCAAGAAUCAGGCUGCGCUCGCGAUGAUAUUUGAUCAGUAAGAGCUUUUAACUACAUGUUAACAUGAACCUAAUAACUGCACUUAUACAGCAUUCAUGUAAAGCAUUACCAUGAAAUCAAUGAUAAGUUCCAUCCUUACAAUUUAGAGAUGGACAUGGUCUCAGAUUUCAUUGCACUAGAUGAAUUUCUCCAAACUACACGAGGAUGUAACGUAACAUUGGCCUUCGAUGAAAACAUACAGAAAGUAUGAGAACAUUUUCAGAAAGCAGCUGAAAUCUAGUUUUACGAAUUGGUUAAGCAUAACUCACAUGCUGUCGCAAACCUUACAGUAGCAGCAUGUAGGAUAAAUGUCUAUUUUCCCUAUUAGCUUACCUGCUGCCCUGCUGCUCGUGACACUCGUGUAGCUAUUUUUGAAGACUCGCGGCUACCGCUACGUAGUGCGUGCUGCAAAGGAAACUCCGCCUACCGCCCCACCUCCGCCAAAGGAUAAAACAUUAUUAUUAUUUUUUUGUAUUAUUAAUGUUAGUGGCAGUUGUAUAUAGACACGUUAUUAUUCAUAAUAAUAUUUAUUAAAAAAAAAAACAUUAUUAUUUACUAUUAGUGGAGAGGGGCACAUUACAUUUUAAGACAAAAGGGGCAGGGGCUUGAGCCCCUGCGGCCCCUCCCCUGUGCACGCCACUGGCGCUGACAUCUUGGGUCUUGAGUCUGCGCAGUAGCAUUUUCAGGACCAGUCCUGCACAGUAGUGAGCAGGAAGUAAAGCCGCGAAAUCAAGGCCUCGCCCUCACAGAAUGCACAUAUCACAGCUGUCAAUCAUGACAUGACACCACCGUUUUUAUUCACCUUAUUUUUCACGACAACAAGGGCGGCGCCAUUUCGCUCAUUUUGUCAACGUUCUUCCGGCCGCAUAGACGAUGAGCAGCUGAGGCAGUGACUGAAGGCGACGUGUUAAGCUUAAAAAGCUCACUCGAGCGCCUUUAUGUUUCUUUCUUACCAAUUUUAAGCCAACUGAGGAACACCCUUAUCCCAAGUAAUGGUUCGACUACGAUGUUCCGGUAACUUUAAACCACGCCUGGUGUUGAAAAGGUGGCCAGUUUCAGAUGCAUUGAUGUUUAGUGAUGCAGUGGACAACUGUGAGGAUGAUACAAUCAACAUGUUCCUAAACUGUGAUGCAGAAACACAAUGGGAGCAUCUAUCCGUCUCUGACCACAACUACACUUUAAAAUCACAACUCAACCUGAAGCAACAUACAUCUGAUAUGGGAAAACAAUGGUGCGGUUUCCCAGACAGGGCUUAUCCUGGUCCCAGGCUAAAAUGCAUAUUUGAGCUACAAUAAUUUAAAAACACCUUUUACUGACAUACCUCAACAUAUAUUAGUGCCAUUGUUUUGUCACAAGAUGCGCACCAGUCUUGUUUUUUGUAGGAUUUGUUUGUAAAAACUAAAAUGUCCUAAUAUAAUUAAGGCCUAGCGCCAAGCACUUUACCAGUACAUACACCAACAGCUUCCAGAUAUACGCUUGGGAUCAGCUCCUGAUGACUCCGAUAAAGCUGUGUCUUAAUUUAUUGCAGGGUGGUCUUGCUUUACCGGUUGUAAAGUUACAUUAAACCUUCAUAUGUGAUCAGAUGUCAUGCAGUGAUAUUAAACAUUUACAGUGUGA